rnacentral:RNase_P_RNA from 1 species
UAAGCAGGCUGGUCUGUCGCUGUUUCCAGUGUUGGAAAGAGAGGAAAGUCCGGGCAACGCAGAGCAAUAAGCUUCUUAACGGGAAGUUGUCUGUGAGGGCAAGCAGGCGUAACAGAAAAUGACCGCCCCGCAAGGGGUAAGGGUGAAAAGGCGGGGUAAGAGCCCACCGCCGGUUUGGCGACAAGCCGGGCUGUACGCUCCUUAUGUUGCAAAACCAAGUAUACCGACGUAUGUAGGGCUGCUCGUCCGAUGUCGGGGGGUAGGUCGCUAGAGCCUGUUGGUGACAACGGGUGUAGAUAAAUGACAGACGCCCUUUCUAAGGGUACAUAACCCGGCUUACAGGCCUGCUUUCGCC